AACGAACGCUGGCGGCAUGCCUAACACAUGCAAGUCGAACGAGACCUUCGGGUCUAGUGGCGCACGGGUGCGUAACGCGUGGGAACCUGCCCUUAGGUUCGGAAUAACUCCCCGAAAGGGGUGCUAAUACCGGAUAAUGUCUUCGGACCAAAGAUUUAUCGCCUUUGGAUGGGCCCGCGUUGGAUUAGCUAGUUGGUAGGGUAAAAGCCUACCAAGGCGACGAUCCAUAGCUGGUCUGAGAGGAUGAUCAGCCACACUGGGACUGAGACACGGCCCAGACUCCUACGGGAGGCAGCAGUGGGGAAUAUUGGACAAUGGGCGAAAGCCUGAUCCAGCAAUGCCGCGUGAGUGAUGAAGGCCUUAGGGUUGUAAAGCUCUUUUACCCGGGAUGAUAAUGACAGUACCGGGAGAAUAAGCUCCGGCCAACUCCGUG
rnacentral:rRNA from 1 species